rnacentral:rRNA from 1 species
AGAGUUUGAUCAUGGCUCAGAUUGAACGCUGGCGGAAUGCUUUACACAUGCAAGUCGAACGAUGAACCUUAGCUUGCUAGGGGGAUUAGUGGCGAACGGGUGAGUAAUAUAUCGGAACGUACCUUGUAAUGGGGGAUAACUAGUCGAAAGAUUAGCUAAUACCGCAUACGCCCUGAGGGGGAAAGUAGGGGAUCUUCGGACCUUACGUUAUAAGAGCGGCCGAUAUCUGAUUAGCUAGUUGGUGGGGUAAUGGCCUACCAAGGCGACGAUCAGUAGCUGGUCUGAGAGGACGACCAGCCACACUGGAACUGAGACACGGUCCAGACUCCUACGGGAGGCAGCAGUGGGGAAUUUUGGACAAUGGGCGAAAGCCUGAUCCAGCCAUUCCGCGUGAGUGAAGAAGGCCUUCGGGUUGUAAAGCUCUUUCGCAAGGGAAGAAAACUUAUUCUCUAAUAUAGGAUGAGGUUGACGGUACCUUGAUAAGAAGCACCGGCUAACUACGUGCCAGCAGCCGCGGUAAUACGUAGGGUGCGAGCGUUAAUCGGAAUUACUGGGCGUAAAGCGUGCGCAGGCGGUUUUGUAAGUCAGAUGUGAAAUCCCCGAGCUCAACUUGGGAACUGCGUUUGAAACUACAAGACUAGAAUAUGUCAGAGGGGGGUAGAAUUCCACGUGUAGCAGUGAAAUGCGUAGAGAUGUGGAGGAAUACCAAUGGCGAAGGCAGCCCCCUGGGAUAAUAUUGACGCUCAUGCACGAAAGCGUGGGGAGCAAACAGGAUUAGAUACCCUGGUAGUCCACGCCCUAAACGAUGUCUACUAGUUGUUGGUGGA